rnacentral:rRNA from 1 species
GGUUAAGCGACUAAGCGUACACGGUGGAUGCCCUGGCAGUCAGAGGCGAUGAAGGACGUGCUAAUCUGCGAUAAGCGUCGGUAAGGUGAUAUGAACCGUUAUAACCGGCGAUUUCCGAAUGGGGAAACCCAGUGUGUUUCGACACACUAUCAUUAACUGAAUCCAUAGGUUAAUGAGGCGAACCGGGGGAACUGAAACAUCUAAGUACCCCGAGGAAAAGAAAUCAACCGAGAUUCCCCCAGUAGCGGCGAGCGAACGGGGAGGAGCCCAGAGCCUGAAUCAGUGUGUGUGUUAGUGGAAGCGUCUGGAAAGGCGCGCGAUACAGGGUGACAGCCCCGUACACAAAAAUGCACAUACUGUGAGCUCGAUGAGUAGGGCGGGACACGUGGUAUCCUGUCUGAAUAUGGGGGGACCAUCCUCCAAGGCUAAAUACUCCUGACUGACCGAUAGUGAACCAGUACCGUGAGGGAAAGGCGAAAAGAACCCCGGCGAGGGGAGUGAAAAAGAACCUGAAACCGUGUACGUACAAGCAGUGGGAGCCUCUUAAUGGGGUGACUGCGUACCUUUUGUAUAAUGGGUCAGCGACUUAUAUUCUGUAGCAAGGUUAACCGAAUAGGGGAGCCGAAGGGAAACCGAGUCUUAACUGGGCGUUAAGUUGCAGGGUAUAGACCCGAAACCCGGUGAUCUAGCCAUGGGCAGGUUGAAGGUUGGGUAACACUAACUGGAGGACCGAACCGACUAAUGUUGAAAAAUUAGCGGAUGACUUGUGGCUGGGGGUGAAAGGCCAAUCAAACCGGGAGAUAGCUGGUUCUCCCCGAAAGCUAUUUAGGUAGCGCCUCGUGAAUUCAUCUCCGGGGGUAGAGCACUGUUUCGGCAAGGGGGUCAUCCCGACUUACCAACCCGAUGCAAACUGCGAAUACCGGAGAAUGUUAUCACGGGAGACACACGGCGGGUGCUAACGUCCGUCGUGAAGAGGGAAACAACCCAGACCGCCAGCUAAGGUCCCAAAGUCAUGGUUAAGUGGGAAACGAUGUGGGAAGGCCCAGACAGCCAGGAUGUUGGCUUAGAAGCAGCCAUCAUUUAAAGAAAGCGUAAUAGCUCACUGGUCGAGUCGGCCUGCGCGGAAGAUGUAACGGGGCUAAACCAUGCACCGAAGCUGCGGCAGCGACACUAUGUGUUGUUGGGUAGGGGAGCGUUCUGUAAGCCUGUGAAGGUGGCCUGUGAGGGUUGCUGGAGGUAUCAGAAGUGCGAAUGCUGACAUAAGUAACGAUAAAGCGGGUGAAAAGCCCGCUCGCCGGAAGACCAAGGGUUCCUGUCCAACGUUAAUCGGGGCAGGGUGAGUCGACCCCUAAGGCGAGGCCGAAAGGCGUAGUCGAUGGGAAACAGGUUAAUAUUCCUGUACUUGGUGUUACUGCGAAGGGGGGACGGAGAAGGCUAUGUUGGCCGGGCGACGGUUGUCCCGGUUUAAGCGUGUAGGCUGGUUUUCCAGGCAAAUCCGGAAAAUCAAGGCUGAGGCGUGAUGACGAGGCACUACGGUGCUGAAGCGACAAAUGCCCUGCUUCCAGGAAAAGCCUCUAAGCAUCAGGUAACAUCAAAUCGUACCCCAAACCGACACAGGUGGUCAGGUAGAGAAUACCAAGGCGCUUGAGAGAACUCGGGUGAAGGAACUAGGCAAAAUGGUGCCGUAACUUCGGGAGAAGGCACGCUGAUAUGUAGGUGAAGCGACUUGCUCGUGGAGCUGAAAUCAGUCGAAGAUACCAGCUGGCUGCAACUGUUUAUUAAAAACACAGCACUGUGCAAACACGAAAGUGGACGUAUACGGUGUGACGCCUGCCCGGUGCCGGAAGGUUAAUUGAUGGGGUUAGCGGUAACGCGAAGCUCUUGAUCGAAGCCCCGGUAAACGGCGGCCGUAACUAUAACGGUCCUAAGGUAGCGAAAUUCCUUGUCGGGUAAGUUCCGACCUGCACGAAUGGCGUAAUGAUGGCCAGGCUGUCUCCACCCGAGACUCAGUGAAAUUGAACUCGCUGUGAAGAUGCAGUGUACCCGCGGCAAGACGGAAAGACCCCGUGAACCUUUACUAUAGCUUGACACUGAACAUUGAGCCUUGAUGUGUAGGAUAGGUGGGAGGCUUUGAAGUGUGGACGCCAGUCUGCAUGGAGCCGACCUUGAAAUACCACCCUUUAAUGUUUGAUGUUCUAACGUUGGCCCCUAAUCGGGGUUGCGGACAGUGUCUGGUGGGUAGUUUGACUGGGGCGGUCUCCUCCUAAAGAGUAACGGAGGAGCACGAAGGUUGGCUAAUCCUGGUCGGACAUCAGGAGGUUAGUGCAAUGGCAUAAGCCAGCUUGACUGCGAGCGUGACGGCGCGAGCAGGUGCGAAAGCAGGUCAUAGUGAUCCGGUGGUUCUGAAUGGAAGGGCCAUCGCUCAACGGAUAAAAGGUACUCCGGGGAUAACAGGCUGAUACCGCCCAAGAGUUCAUAUCGACGGCGGUGUUUGGCACCUCGAUGUCGGCUCAUCACAUCCUGGGGCUGAAGUAGGUCCCAAGGGUAUGGCUGUUCGCCAUUUAAAGUGGUACGCGAGCUGGGUUUAGAACGUCGUGAGACAGUUCGGUCCCUAUCUGCCGUGGGCGCUGGAGAACUGAGGGGGGCUGCUCCUAGUACGAGAGGACCGGAGUGGACGCAUCACUGGUGUUCGGGUUGUCAUGCCAAUGGCACUGCCCGGUAGCUAAAUGCGGAAGAGAUAAGUGCUGAAAGCAUCUAAGCACGAAACUUGCCCCGAGAUGAGUUCUCCCUGACUCCUUGAGAGUCCUGAAGGAACGUUGAAGACGACGACGUUGAUAGGCCGGGUGUGUAAGCGCAGCGAUGCGUUGAGCUAACCGGUACUAAUGAACCGUGAGGCUUAACCUU